rnacentral:rRNA from 1 species
UACAGAGGUCUCAAGCGUUGUUCGGAUUCAUUGGGCGUAAAGGGUGCGUAGGCGGCGCGGUAAGUCGGGUGUGAAAUCUUGGAGCUUAACUCCGAAAACUGCAUUCGAUACUGCCGUGCUUGAGGACUGGAGAGGAGACUGGAAUUUACGGUGUAGCGGUGAAAUGCGUAGAUAUCGUAAGGAAGACCAGUGGCGAAGGCGGGUCUCUGGACAGUUCCUGACGCUGAAGCACGAAGGCCAGGGGGAGCAAACGGG